rnacentral:rRNA from 1 species
UACGAAGGGGGCUAGCGUUGUUCGGAAUUACUGGGCGUAAAGCGCGUGUAGGCGGGUCCUUAAGUCAGGGGGGAAAUCCUGGAGCUCAACUCCAGAACUGCCUUUGAUACUGAGGAGCUUGGAGUCCGGGAGAGGUGAGUGGAACUGCGAGUGUAGAGGUGAAAUUCGUAGAUAUUCGCAAGAACACCAGUGGCGAAGGCGGCUCACUGGCCCGGUACUGACGCUGAGGUGCGAAAGCGUGGGGAGCAAACAGG